rnacentral:rRNA from 1 species
UACGAAGGGGGCUAGCGUUGCUCGGAAUCACUGGGCGUAAAGCGCACGUAGGCGGCCUACUAAGUCAGGGGUGAAAUCCUGGAGCUCAACUCCAGAACUGCCUUUGAUACUGGUGGGCUUGAGUCCGGGAGAGGUGAGUGGAACUGCGAGUGUAGAGGUGAAAUUCGUAGAUAUUCGCAAGAACACCAGUGGCGAAGGCGGCUCACUGGCCCGGUACUGACGCUGAGGUGCGAAAGCGUGGGGAGCAAACAGGG